UCGAGUCGUUUAGAGGUAAAAGCCGCUCUUUACCUUUUAGCGCUUGCAAUAAACUGAACUUAGGUUCCAGGGUUGUUACACAUGCGCAGUUUUGUCUUCUAUGACGUUAAACAUAUACAGGGUGUCUUACAACUAGAGUAACUCCCGGAAAGAGGUUGUAGGGGACGUAAUUAUGAACAACAUAAUUUCUCUUCGCAAAAAUAAGAUUUGAUGCUUCAUUUUUGAAUUAUUAAAGAAAAACACAGAUCAUUUAGCAUGCGUAAAGUGCGUGCGCAGACGCGAGAGCGACAACUUCGAGUUUGACAACUGAGCGUAAUUGUGAACAAGCAUCUUUGCACCGAGACAAUGUAAUCGUUUAAUAUACAGCUCUUAUGUCAAAGCUUAGUUAAUUAAUGUUAAAAGCAAUUAAAAAUUAUGAUAAGCCAAUUCGAAUCAGACUCACCUAUUGUUUGAAAAUAAUCCUGUUCCAGUAAAAUUGUGUUUUCUUGAUCUCGAAGUUGUCGCUUUCGCGCUCAAGUGCGCGUAAUUCUCACGUUCUAAUUGGACCGUGUUUUUCCUCAACAAUUCAAAAAUGAAGUUUCAAACACCAUUUUUGCAAAAGGAAAUGUUGUUCGUAAUUACGUCUCCUACACCCCUUUUUGGGAGUUUUAUUAGUCGUGAGACACUCUUAGUGCAUUGUAUUAUGGUUUUUGUAUGGACCUGUCUGUUUAACAUUAAGCUUAAUUUAAAAAGAAUUUCUGAACAAAGUACUUAGUUAAGAGACAACUGAAAGAGACAGAGCAGAAGUUUAUAUUUUAAUUUUCGACUUCAAUUCUUAAUUAAAAAAAAAGUAAAAAUUUAUCUUUCAAGAAGGAAUUUCAGGACUAGUACCUCAAAACUUGUACUUCACUGAAUGAGACAAUCUCUUUGAACACUUCAAACACUUGAUAGUGAGAUGCACUUUAAGCACUUGAGAGGAAAUGUUUACUCUAUAAUGUACAGUAUAUGGAACAUAUACUAGGUUCUGAAAUUUCAAAGUUUCGAAGUUCUACAUAUUUCGAAUAAUAAUAUUUCAUUCAUUGAAUUGAACAUUCAUUGAAUGUUUUGAAUUAGAUAUGAUAACACUAAAAUCUUUAAGGUAUUUGGAGCUUCUAAAGGUCGUAAUCCAGUUCUGAUUACAUAAGAUUUAAGUGGAUAUGUCAUUCUACAAGAAUAAAAGACUUAUGAAAUAUAUUACAUCUUUAUUUUGAUAUGAAGCAUUUGUGAUAUAGUGAUUUACAAGCUUAUGGAUGUAUUUAAAGGCUUGAUAAAAGUAUGUCAAAUAAAUAGGUAAAACAAUAACUUAAAAGAAAAAAAUUGUGCAUUUGCAUUUCUUCUUCUUUAAUAGAAUUGCAUAUUUUUUAAAACAAAUUGGUAUUAAGAUACAAUACAACAGAAUUUAACAAUUCGUGAAAUACUUAUAUUUGCCAUCUGAUGGAACAAUUGGUACCUGGAUAACCACAAGCAACACUUUUAUUCAAACAGGAAGAAAUUGCCAAAAUCACCAUUAUGUAAUUUAAAGAAGGUCUCUAUAGUGUUGAUGUACAAGAUAAAUGAUUCACAAGUCCAUAAUUUAUCACAGAUUGUACUAUCAAUUAUCUUAUCAAAAUAAUAAAAUAAAAAAAAAUGAUACCAAAGAUAUAAGAAGAGAUGAUAUCUAAACAUGUUUUGCCGGAAUUUAAAGCGAUUAAAGCGAUUUAAAGCGAUUAUUUUAGUUGCUGUUACAUCUACAAUAUGUCAACCCAUUAUUAUACAAUGUUUUAUCUCAAUUCAAAUGUUUUAGAUAUAAAUGUACGAAUUUUUAUACAACCUGAAAUAUUUUAUAUCCACAUUAAGUUUGAUAGGCAAAGAACAAUGAAAUAUACAAAGAAACUUCCAAUAGCACUUAUUAGAGCAAACAA